rnacentral:lncRNA from 1 species
CUUACACUGCUAAUCUUUUGGAAGAAAUCUCAGCUAAUUGGAAUACCAGGCGAUAGGAGGAUAAACAGUAAAAAGAAAGAAAAUACACCUAUUGAUGAAGUUGUCACAUAAUGGAAGGAUCAUACCCGAUCUGGCUGAGGAGCUAAGCUAAGAAAAUGAGAAGUUGCGGAAAUGUUUGUUACUGAGUGCCAGAAUCUGGAAAAUCAAAUGGAGAAUUGGGGAGCAAACAGUGCAGAUCUGGGAAAGGCUCAUCAGAGCCUCAGCCAUGAGAGCUGCCUAUGACAAGUGCGAGGAUGGAUAACUUCUGUCUGAAGAAAUUGGCCUGCUACUGCUUAAAAGUGGUGAAAAGACGGGGAAAGCCAGCAAUGCAGAAGUUUGGUUGAAUAUGCUGUGUUUGCCAAGAGAGAAAUUAAGAAGUUCCGUAUCCUUUAAAGUUUUAGGAUGGAAACUGUUAGAUAGGAAAUUCAGAUGAAAAGCCAGAGCAAUCAUUAAACAAAGACAUCUAAGUAAGGCACACAAAAAAGUCAGAAAGUCAAAUGAAGACUAAAUGCGUACAUACUUCUGUACAAAUGCCUAAAAAAUAAGAUGUAUAAACUAGAAUAUGUGACUUUAAAGGAGAAUACUGUCAUAACAGACACUUUAGAAAACUGGUGAAAAAGAUAACAUUGUAAGAAAGAGGACAAAUUAUAUAGAAUGGUAAAGAGUAUC